UUUUAAAACCAUGCCACCCUAAGUAUACCCAGGCUUAUCCAGGCUUAGAAGCUAAGCAGGGAUGAGCCUGGUUACCUCUUGGAUGGGUAACCACCUGGAAAUGCCAGGUAUAAGAA
rnacentral:rRNA from 1 species